GCAGUGAUGGUUCAGUGGUAGAAUUCUUGCCUUUUAUGCGGGAGACCUGGGUUCAAUUCCCAGCCAGUGCG